CUUGCUCUGUGUUGAGUUUGGUCAUAUUUUUGGACCACUCUCAAGAGAUGUUUCAUGCCUCUAAGAUCAGAAUUCACUUGCACCCACCAUAUAAAAGCCGACUCUCACACUGAGAAGUCGCGCACGACAUGCUUUCUCCAUCCACCCAAAAUUUCGCCAACUUUUACACUGAGGGUUGCGCACAUGUAUCCACCAAAUAAAAAUGCCAAUAUCUCACCCUGAGAAUUGUGCAUUCAUAAACAUUCCUUGCAUUUGUUAUCAUAAAGCUCUCUUUCGUUUUCAUCAAGAAUCAUAGGAAUGGGCUAUAUAUAUAAAAAAAAAUUAUGAGAAACAACCAAAGGGGCA
rnacentral:lncRNA from 1 species